GCCCCGGUAGCUCAGUUGGAUAGAGCGCGCCCCUCCUAAGGGCGAGGUCACAGGUUCGACUCCUGUUCGGGGCGCCA
rnacentral:tRNA from 1 species